rnacentral:rRNA from 1 species
AACGAACGCUGGCGGCAGGCUUAACACAUGCAAGUCGAACGCCCCGCAAGGGGCGUGGCAGACGGGUGAGUAACGCGUGGGAACAUACCCUUUCCUGCGGAAUAGCUCCGGGAAACUGGAAUUAAUACCGCAUACGCCCUACGGGGGAAAGAUUUAUCGGGGAAGGAUUGGCCCGCGUUGGAUUAGCUAGUUGGUGGGGUAAAGGCCUACCAAGGCGACGAUCCAUAGCUGGUCUGAGAGGAUGAUCAGCCACACUGGGACUGAGACACGGCCCAAACUCCUACGGGAGGCAGCAGUGGGGAAUAUUGGACAAUGGGCGAAAGCCUGAUCCAGCCAUGCCGCGUGAGUGAUGAAGGCCUUAGGGUUGUAAAGCUCUUUCACCGAUGAAGAUAAUGACGGUAGUCGGAGAAGAAGCCCCGGCUAACUUCGUG